GUUGCAUUGUCUCCUUGUUCUUCCUGGUACCAUUUCUCUCCCACAUAGACUAAGGAUGACAGACAGUACCAUCACACGUGGCCCCAAUGUGAGCCUUCUUUCUGAUCACACACAGCUCUGUCAGCCAACCACCACCAUGUCCACUAACCCAUGCCACAUCCACAUUUCUUGAACACCUUUAGGGACAGCGAUUCCAACACCUCCUUGGGCAGCCCAUUUCUGUGCCACAUCACUCUUCUGGAGUAGAUUUUUUUCCUAAUAUGCACCCUGAACCUCCCUGGCACAACCUGAGGCCUUUCAUAACCUCUUGAUCUCUUGCUAGUUACCCGGGAGAAAGACUGACUCCCACCUCGCUACAGCCUCUUUUCAGGUUGUUUUAAAGAGGGCAAUAAGGUUCCUCUGAGCUUCCUUUUCUCCAGAUUGAACAAUCCCAGCUUUUUCAGCCGCUCCUCAUAAGGCCUGUGCUCCAGACCCCUCACAGCUUCACUGCCAUCCUCUGGACACACUCCAGGGCCUCGAUGUCUUUCUUGUAGUGAGGGAUCCAAAACUGAGCACAGCACUCAAAGUGCUCACUUCUGAGUAGAGAGGGAUGACCACCUCCCUGUUCCAGCUGGCUGCGCUAUUUCUGAUACAAGCCAGGAUGCCAUUGGCCUUUGUGGCCACCUGGCACACUGCUUAUAUUCAGCUGGCUGUCAACUAACACCCCCAGAUCCUUUUCCUCUGUGCAGCAUUCCAUCCCCAGGCCUGUAGCGAUGCACGGGGUUGUUGUGACCAAAGGGCAGGCCCGGCACUCGGCCUUGCUGAAGGUCAUACCACUGGCCUCAGCCCAUCGCUCCAGCCUGUUCGUAUGUUGCUCCUCGCUAAGGGUUACACACUCUCUCACAAAACAGCCAACCCACACAGGCGGGCCAGAGUGCCGCUGGCAGCCCACUAGGCCCAGUUUCCACACAGCACAGCGGCCCGCGCCAAGCACUGCCAGCCCCGCGGCAGCCAUGUCAGGCAGGUCGGGUCAGGUCGGGCCAGCAGCCUCGCCACCGCUUUUCGCCCUUCUUGCCGCUCCUCUCCGUGCCACCCCCGGCCCCUCUCCGCCCUCGGGGCUCACCUAAAAUUAGCGCCCG
ensembl:lncRNA